GUAGGUGGCAAGCGUUGUCCGGAAUUAUUGGGCGUAAAGCGCGCGCAGGUGGUUUCUUAAGUCUGAUGUGAAAGCCCACGGCUCAACCGUGGAGGGUCAUUGGAAACUGGGGAACUUGAGUGCAGAAGAGGAAAGUGGAAUUCCACGUGUAGCGGUGAAAUGCGUAGAGAUGUGGAGGAACACCAGUGGCGAAGGCGACUUUCUGGUCUGUAACUGACACUGAGGCGCGAAAGCGUGGGGAGCAAACAGGAUUAGAUACCCUGGUAGUCCACGCCGUAAACGAUGAGUGCUAAGUGUUAGGGGGUUUCCGCCCCCCUUAGUGCUGCAGCUAACGCAUUAAGCACUCCGCCCUGGGAGUACGGCCGCAAGGCUG
rnacentral:rRNA from 1 species